rnacentral:rRNA from 1 species
UACGAAGGGGGCUAGCGUUGCUCGGAAUCACUGGGCGUAAAGCGCACGUAGGCGGAUCCUUAAGUCGGGGGUGAAAUCCUGGAGCUCAACUCCAGAACUGCCUUCGAUACUGAGGAUCUCGAGUCCGGGAGAGGUGAGUGGAACUGCGAGUGUAGAGGUGAAAUUCGUAGAUAUUCGCAAGAACACCAGUGGCGAAGGCGGCUCACUGGCCCGAUACUGACGCUGAGGUGCGAAAGCGUGGGGAGCAAACAGG